GUGAAUUAAAAAUUUUGUUCAGACAAACUUGAAAGUUGUAUAAACUUACUGCUGAAUAUACUGACUCUUUCCUAGGAAAACAUGGGAACAUAGGAUGGCAUGUGGCAAGGUCACAGGACCACAGGAUCACGAGGUUGGAAGAGACCUUCAGGAUCAUUGAGUCCAGUCUAAAUUGGUCUAAGUGGAGCUGCAUUGCUGAAGGAUUACCAUGGAGAAGAAACUAUUUCCAAACUGACAAGAAUGUGGAAUCAGAUGAACAGAGAGAGCUGAUUCAAUUUCUGCCUGAACUCCAGGAUCACUGUUGGAGGCCUGGCUGCCUAAGGGAGCAACACCUCUCUCUGCUGCUGUGUCUGAGGGCACAGCUGUGAUUCUCAACCACCCUGUCAUAGCACAGCUACAUUCAGACUCCUAAGAGAGACCAAGCCUCUCAGUCACCUCUGCCUAUCAACACCUCAAUGCAGGAAGACCCUACAUACUUCACUUCAAGCAGAUGUCUACAUUCACUGGUGUCUAUUGAAGAAUUUUUCUUCUGUGAAUACAACCGGGCAUUAUUUAAAAAAAAAUUAAUUGCACUGAAGGCACCCUGUUUUGCAGUCUGUGUAGCUGUGUGAGAGCCUGGAAGUUUUUCCCUGCAGGCAGAGCACCAG
rnacentral:lncRNA from 1 species